GAAAUAAAAAGUUGCGCACGGUUCACGUGGACGUUAGAUACCUGUACACGCUACGCCGAUAAAUUGCUUCGAAUUAUCUGCACGCUCAUCACUAGCACUUCCUCUCUUUGUCGAGCAGCGACCGUCUCUAUAGUGCAUGCAGAUAAAUUCUAACGAUUACAUGCAAUUUCUCUGCGACAUUAACGAAGGAAGAAUCGGAAGUUCAAACGUACUAUAGCGAACUGUGAGAUAUUCAUCGAGAACCACUCUGCCUAGAACAAAACCGAUUUGCUGCUGCUUUCGAAGAAAGAAGAAAAAGAAUGAAAAAGAUCAGAAAGGAAGCAAUUCUCUUCUUUCCUUCCCAGUUUUAUCGAUAUUUUCAAUCAUUGGUCGUUUCUAACCUAAAUUUUCAAUUUUAACGAUCUUAUAAAAUCUAUUAUAUAAUUUCUCCGUAAAAAUGACGUAAUCAGGCUGAAAAAAUCUAAGUCUAGUGAAAAUUUAUAUUUUUAUAAUAUUAUUAGUGGAAUCUUGACAUCUGUAUCUAUUCUAAUUUUUAAUACAUUCGAUAAUAUCAUUUCAGAAAUUUAAAAUUCGAUUAGUUUUAAAGAAAACUUUAACUUUUCACUUCGAUAUAUUUCUUUCGGCACAAUUUAGUUUGAAAAUUCUGUAAACAUCUUUAACAGUUAUGGAACAUUGCACGAAAAUGUAUUGAAAUCUUCAAAAAAAUUUCCAAUCGAUAUGAAGAUUAAAUAACAAUUGAAAUCAAGAAGUUUGCAAUUAAAAUUCAAGAAUGAAAGUAUCGUUAAAAUAUAAUAACGCUUUCCACACGAGGAAGAAUAAGAAAAGUAAGAACUAGAAUCAGAAAAAAAGAAAUGUUGACAAGAUAAGUGUUAAUAUUAACGCAACCAUCCGCUUAUUCACAUGGCUGUAGAUUAUCCACACUACCUGUGAAUUUAUUCGCUAUUUUGUACGGAUUACAGGGACGUGGUGGAAAGGUCAAUGACGUUCAUACUCGUGAUCGAUAAUAUAAUAAUUACGUUCUGAUCUAGAUUAUAUCCCUGAACAAUGCGGCGUAUUAUCCUUGAUGGCGUUCUAAGCAAUGGAACUAUCGUGUUCUCAUAUACGUGUUCAUUCAUCUAAAUUAUAGAAGAGGAAGAAAAUAUCGUUAAAUUUCUAAUUUGAAUACAAUGAAUUUCACGGAUCCUUCGAACAAGCAUUUCAACCAGCGGACGGAAGUCUUGUUAAGAAUGCGUUAAACCCAACGUUAAACCAUGAAUACGAAUAAUUCAAGUUCCCAGCAUCAACUGCAGGCAAAUAAAGGUAAACAACAUCUUGAAGAGAGAAAAAGACAGACACACAAAGAGCAUUAGAAACGAAUGUAAUUGUAGUUCAUAGAGGCGAAUUUUCGUGGAAGAACUAAUUAGACUGUAUUACCAGCACAAAUGUCUAAUUUGAACCGAAACUUUCUCCUGUAUAGUAUACACGUUUAAUAAUCAGAAUAUUUUUUUGGAAGUUUUAGAAUAUCAAUUUCAAAUUAAUAAAAUAUUAUCAAAUGUUGUGAAUUGCAAUUGAAUUGUUAAAUAUUCAGAAUAUGAAGAUCUUUAUAAGAUUAUAAUUUUGCAAUGAAAGAGUGUGUAAAUUUAUUUAUAUAAACUUUUAUUAUAUUUCUAACUGGAAGUGAUUAUACAUCGAUAUAUUUUUUUUCAUUCGAUUAUAAAAAUAUCUAAACAAGAAAGACACGCAAAUUUUUCUUUUUUCGAAAUCAUUAUAUUGAAAAAAAAAUUGGAAAGAAAUAUAUCCUCUAUUCUCUAUUGUUUAAACGAAGAAUAUUCUGAUAAAGUAAAAGUACAUUGUUCACUGCAUUAACCUAAUUUGGAAACGUUUUACCGCAACUUUGUAUCGGAAUUCCUGCAGCUUUGUAAUUUAAUUAAAUGCGAUACUUCUGAAAUGUAAUUACAAAUAACACUUGUAGAAAUCAUUCAACAAUAAACAAACAUUUUAUUCA